rnacentral:rRNA from 2 species
GUAGGUGAACCUGCGGA